CAAGUCGAACGCGAAAGCCCCCUUCGGGGGGCAAGUAGAGUGGCGCACGGGUGAGUAACACGUAGGUAAUCUACCUUUGGAUUGGGAAUAACCACCGGAAACGGUGGCUAAUACCGAAUAAUGCAGCGGCACCUAAUGGUGACAGUUGUUAAAGCGGGGGAUCGCAAGACCUCGCGUCUGAAGAGGAGCCUGCGGCAGAUUAGCUAGUUGGUAAGGUAAAGGCUUACCAAGGCGAUGAUCUGUAGCCGGCCUGAGAGGGCGGUCGGCCACACUGACACUGACAUACGGGUCAGACUCCUACGGGAGGCAGCAGUCGGGAAUUUUGGGCAAUGGGCGAAAGCCUGACCCAGCAACGCCGCGUGAAGGAUGAAAUCCUUCGGGAUGUAAACUUCGCAAGAACGGGAAGAAUAAGUAAGAGUUAAUAUCUCUUACGAUGACGGUACUGUUUGUAAGCUCCGGCUAACUCCGUGCCAGCAGCCGCGGUAAUACGGGGGGAGCAAGCGUUGUUCGGAUUUACUGGGCGUAAAGGGCGCGUAGGCGGCCACCGCAAGUCGACUGUGAAAUCUCCGGGCUUAACCCGGAAAGGUCAGCCGAUACUGCGGGGCUAGAGUGCAGAAGGGGCAACUGGAAUUCUCGGUGUAGCGGUGAAAUGCGUAGAUAUCGAGAGGAACACCUGCGGCGAAGGCGGGUUGCUGGGCUGACACUGACGCUGAGGCGCGAAAGCUAGGGGAGCGAACGGGAUUAGAUACCCCGGUAGUCCUAGCCUUAAACGAUGAAUGCUUGGUGUCUGGGGUUUUAUAGUCCCCGGGUGCC
rnacentral:rRNA from 1 species